CCGUCAAUUCCUUUAAGUUUUAAUCUUGCGAUCGUACUCCUCAGGCGGUCUACUUCACGCGUUAGCUGCGUUACCGAAGGAGUUACCCUCCGACAACUAGUAGACAUCGUUUAGGGCGUGGACUACCAGGGUAUCUAAUUCUGUUUGUUUUUCACGCUUUCGUACAUGAGCGUCAGUCUCAUCCCAGGGGGCUGCCUUCGCCAUCGGUGUUCUUCCACAUCUCUAUGCAUUUCACUGUUACACGUGGAAUUCCAUUUUUUUCUGACAGACUCUAGCCAUGCAGUCACAAAUGCAGUUCCCAGGUUAGGCCCGGGGAUUUCACACCUGUCUUGCAAAGUUGCCUGCGUACGUUUUACGCUCAGUAAUUCCGAUUAACGCUUGCACUCUACGUAUUACCGCG
rnacentral:misc_RNA from 1 species